UACAUGGGGUGCAAACGUUGCUCGGAAUUAUUGGGCGUAAAGCGCGCGUAGGCGGUUACUUAAGUCGGAUGUGAAAGCCCUCGGCUUAACUGAGGAAGUGCACCCGAAACUGGGUAGCUAGAGUACGAAAGAGGGUCGCGGAAUUCCCGGUGUAGAGGUGAAAUUCGUAGAUAUCGGGAGGAACACCGGUGGCGAAGGCGGCGACCUGGGUCGAGACUGACGCUGAGGCGCGAAAGCGUGGGGAGCAAACAGG
rnacentral:rRNA from 1 species